UACGAAGGGGGCUAGCGUUGUUCGGAAUCACUGGGCGUAAAGCGCACGUAGGCGGCGCGUUAAGUCAGGGGUGAAAUCCUGGAGCUCAACUCCAGAACUGCCUUUGAUACUGGCGUGCUCGAGUGUGGGAGAGGUUGGUGGAACUCCGAGUGUAGAGGUGAAAUUCGUAGAUAUUCGGAAGAACACCAGUGGCGAAGGGGGCCACUGGGCCCAUUACUGACUCUGAGGUGCGAAAGCGUGGGGAGCAAACAGG
rnacentral:rRNA from 1 species